rnacentral:rRNA from 1 species
CAGCCGCCUCGGUAAUGCGUAGGUGGCAAGCGUUGUCCGGAAUUAUUGGGCGUAAAGCGCGCGCAGGCGGAUCAGUUAGUCUGUCUUAAAAGUUCGGGGCUUAACCCCGUGAUGGGAUGGAAACUGCUGAUCUAGAGUAUCGGAGAGGAAAGUGGAAUUCCUAGUGUAGCGGUGAAACGCGUAGAUAUUAGGAAGAACACCAGUGGCGAAGGCGACUUUCUGGACGAAAACUGACGCUGAGGCGCGAAAGCCAGGGGAGCGAACGGGAUUAGAUACCCGUGUAGUCCCUGUCUCUACACAU